UCCUAACAACCUACCUGCCGCAGUUUGGGCUCUGUGACCUUUAGAAUGUGUACGCUAUAACACAAGCGUCACUCACGAUUUCACUUCACGAACACCUUGUCAAUGGCCUUGCCUGCAGGUGGGCGAAAAAAUUGCUGUCAUUGAAUUUACACCAGACAACAAACCAAGUUGGCGGAGAACAGAUAUGUGAUUGACAAAAAGAACAGCAACAUCACAGCAAGGGAAACAGAAAAUGGGUCAGACCCAGACACCUGGUGACAAAUAGUUGUGGAAGCGCAAAGAAAAGCAGGGCUUCAGGGAGACGGACAGAAGUGGUGUUUGACAACGAACUAGAUAAGUCGGUGGGCGAAAAAAAUGCUGUCAUUGAAUUUACACCAGACAACAAACUAAGCUGGCGGACAACAGAUAUGUGAUUGACAAAAAGAACAGCAACAUCACAGCAAUAAAUUCUAAAGGGAAAAAGAAAAUGGGUCAGACCCAGACACCUGGUGACAAAUAGUUGUGGAAGCGCAAAGAAAAGCAGGGCUUCAGGGAGACAGACAGAAGUGGUGUUUGACCACGAAUUUGAUAAGUCUGUAGGUACAUUCAGGAAAGACCUUAAAGUAUAUGCUCUUAAUUCUCGGGUCUUCUACCCAGGGUCCAAUGAACAAGGUUCUGGCACAUCUCUUGUAUGACUUAAUGCCUUUGUUUAAGGGAGUUCAUGAUCAGGAAAAAGAAAUGUUAAUAGACAGAUUGAAUCACUUUUGAGAAAAUUUAAAAAAAAA